CUUAUAUUCUGUAGCAAGGUUAACCGAAUAGGGGAGCCGAAGGGAAACCGAGUCUUAACUGGGCGUUAAGUUGCAGGGUAUAGACCCGAAACCCGGUGAUCUAGCCAUGGGCAGGUUGAAGGUUGGGUAACACUAACUGGAGGACCGAACCGACUAAUGUUGAAAAAUUAGCGGAUGACUUGUGGCUGGGGGUGAAAGGCCAAUCAAACCGGGAGAUAGCUGGUUCUCCCCGAAAGCUAUUUAGGUAGCGCCUCGUGAAUUCAUCUCCGGGGGUAGAGCACUGUUUCGGCAAGGGGGUCAUCCCGACUUACCAACCCGAUGCAAACUGCGAAUACCGGAGAAUGUUAUCACGGGAGACACACGGCGGGUGCUAACGUCCGUCGUGAAGAGGGAAACAACCCAGACCGCCAGCUAAGGUCCCAAAGUCAUGGUUAAGUGGGAAACGAUGUGGGAAGGCCCAGACAGCCAGGAUGUUGGCUUAGAAGCAGCCAUCAUUUAAAGAAAGCGUAAUAGCUCACUGGUCGAGUCGGCCUGCGCGGAAGAUGUAACGGGGCUAAACCAUGCACCGAAGCUGCGGCAGCGACGCUGAUGCGUUGUUGGGUAGGGGAGCGUUCUGUAAGCCUGCGAAGGUGUGCUGUGAGGCAUGCUGGAGGUAUCAGAAGUGCGAAUGCUGACAUAAGUAACGAUAAAGCGGGUGAAAAGCCCGCUCGCCGGAAGACCAAGGGUUCCUGUCCAACGUUAAUCGGGGCAGGGUGAGUCGACCCCUAAGGCGAGGCCGAAAGGCGUAGUCGAUGGGAAACAGGUUAAUAUUCCUGUACUUGGUGUUACUGCGAAGGGGGGACGGAGAAGGCUAUGUUGGCCGGGCGACGGUUGUCCCGGUUUAAGCGUGUAGGCUGGUUUUCCAGGCAAAUCCGGAAAAUCAAGGCUGAGGCGUGAUGACGAGGCACUACGGUGCUGAAGCAACAAAUGCCCUGCUUCCAGGAAAAGCCUCUAAGCAUCAGGUAACAUCAAAUCGUACCCCAAACCGACACAGGUGGUCAGGUAGAGAAUACCAAGGCGCUUGAGAGAACUCGGGUGAAGGAACUAGGCAAAAUGGUGCCGUAACUUCGGGAGAAGGCACGCUGAUAUGUAGGUGAGGUCCCUCGCGGAUGGAGCUGAAAUCAGUCGAAGAUACCAGCUGGCUGCAACUGUUUAUUAAAAACACAGCACUGUGCAAACACGAAAGUGGACGUAUACGGUGUGACGCCUGCCCGGUGCCGGAAGGUUAAUUGAUGGGGUUAGCGCAAGCGAAGCUCUUGAUCGAAGCCCCGGUAAACGGCGGCCGUAACUAUAACGGUCCUAAGGUAGCGAAAUUCCUUGUCGGGUAAGUUCCGACCUGCACGAAUGGCGUAAUGAUGGCCAGGCUGUCUCCACCCGAGACUCAGUGAAAUUGAACUCGCUGUGAAGAUGCAGUGUACCCGCGGCAAGACGGAAAGACCCCGUGAACCUUUACUAUAGCUUGACACUGAACAUUGAGCCUUGAUGUGUAGGAUAGGUGGGAGGCUUAGAAGUGUGGACGCCAGUCUGCAUGGAGCCGACCUUGAAAUACCACCCUUUAAUG
rnacentral:rRNA from 1 species